rnacentral:rRNA from 2 species
AACUCAACUGACGCUAAGGCGCGAAAGCGUGGGGAGCAAACAGGAUUAGAUACCCUGGUAGUCCACGCCCUAAACGAUGUACACUAGUUGUUGGGGUGCUAGUCAUCUCAGUAAUGCAGCUAACGCAUUAAGUGUACCGCCUGGGGAGUACGGUCGCAAGAUUAAAACUCAAAGGAAUAGACGGGGACCCGCACAAGCGGUGGAGCAUGUGGUUUAAUUCGAAGAUACGCGAAGAACCUUACCUGGGCUUGAUAUCCUAAGAACCUUUUAGAGAUAAGAGGGUGCUAGCUUGCUAGAACUUAGAGACAGGUGCUGCACGGCUGUCGUCAGCUCGUGUCGUGAGAUGUUGGGUUAAGUCCCGCAACGAGCGCAACCCACGUAUUUAGUUGCUAACGGUUCGGCCGAGCACUCUAAAUAGACUGCCUUCGUAAGGAGGAGGAAGGUGUGGACGACGUCAAGUCAUCAUGGCCCUUAUGCCCAGGGCGACACACGUGCUACAAUGGCAUAUACAAUGAGACGCAAUACCGCGAGGUGGAGCAAAUCUAUAAAAUAUGUCCCAGUUCGGAUUGUUCUCUGCAACUCGAGAGCAUGAAGCCGGAAUCGCUAGUAAUCGUAGAUCAGCCAUGCUACGGUGAAUACGUUCCCGGGUCUUGUACUCACCGCCCGUCACACCAUGGGAGUUGAUUUCACUCGAAGCCGGAAUACUAAACUAGUUACCGUCCACAGUGGAAUCAGCGACUGGGGUGAAGUCGUAACAAGGUAACCGUAGGAGAACCUGCGGUUGGAUCACCUCCUUUCUA